CCCUUUUUGUCUUUUCUAGAUACUGUUGUGAAGGACCAGGCUCGAAUGGGCUCAUCUAGCAUGCCGGGGGGCAGUACGCCUGUGAGCAGCGCCAGUAUGAUGUCAGGGAUUUCUUCAGUGCCAACCCCUUCACCCCUUGGACCUCUGGCAGGCUCACCAGUGAUUGCUGCGGCCAACCCCCUUGGGAUGCCUGUUCCAGCUGCCGCAGGCGCUCAGCAGUAAUGGCCCCUUCUGUCUCCUGAUGCCUGAGCAGAGGUGGAGGCGUCCGCGCUCUCCUUGAUGCAGCUUGCGCCUGGCGGGGAGGGGUGAAAUACUUCAGAAGCACCGUGUCUGAACCGUUGCUUGUGGAUUUAUAGUAGUUCAGUCAUAAAGAAAAAUUAUAAUAGGCUGAUUUUCUUUUUUUUUUUUUUUCCUUCUUUUUUUUAACUCGAACUUUUCAUAACUCAGGGGAUUCCCUGAAAAAUUACCUGCAGGUGGAAUAUUUCACGGACAAAAUCUUUCCCCCCUUUCAAAUUCAGUUUCUCAUCACUAAAGAACAAAGAUGAACCAGCCUCAAUCCUGGCUGCUGCAUUUGGGUGGAGAUAUCUUCCCAUGUCCACCAUUGCUCCCCCACCAUCCCACACUAUGGGGGGUUUAUAUCUCGUGCUCUUCUCCAGAGAUUACAAAAAGGUUGUAGCUUCUUCAAGGGAGGUGGGAAGGAAGGAGGAAGAGAGGGCCCAAGCUACAAGAGCAGUGUACUGCUGGUCACUUUUCUCACACUACUCCAAGUACUUCAGUGGGGUUGUCCUGGUGAAUCUAGUGGAAAUAUGUCUUAGUUUCAUUGAGAUGCUGAAAAUCUACCCAAAGUGCAGACAGGUCCUGAAAACUUCCGUUCAGUAUGAAUCAUGUCUUAUUGACCUAACCCUAAAUCCAGCUCACUUCUACUUUUAAUUUCAGUUCAGUUUAAGAUUAUAAUACCUUCCCUCCCAGGCUCCUUACCUUGGUCCUCUCCCCUAUCAUCUCCCCAUGUGCUCUAUAGCUGGUGGGAGGGGGAGGAAAAAUCUUUUUCAGUUUUGACUUGGCCAUUUUGAAUUCAGUUAGUUACUGGGCUUAACUUAUUGCUUUUUACAAAAGAAAAACAUUGUCUAUAUAGGUUUCAUGCUAGCAACUCUUUAAGAGCUAAUGAAAGAUGUGGCCACACCGAGUUUCAUCUUAAGCUUUCUACCUUCUUUUCUUCCUUUCUUCCCCUUCCUUCACAUGCCAUCCAGUGAGAAGACCUGCCCCUCAGUCUUGUAAAUGUAUCUGAGAGGUAGGAGCAGAGCCACUAUCUCCAGUGAAACUGAAAUGGUAGACCUGUAAUUGUGGGAAAACUAUAAACUCUCUUGUUACAGCCCUGCCACCCCUUGCUGUGUGUAUAUAUAUAAUACUUUGUCCUUCAUAUGUGAAAGAUCCAGUGUUGGAAUUCUUUGGUGUAAAUAAACGUUUGGUUUUAUUUAUCAAGGUUAGAUUUAAGUUCCCUGUGUAAAGGUCUCGCUGGGUGGGUGUCUCACGUUCACAUCUGAGGGGCCUGCAACCCUGUACCGUGGAGGCUUCCCAAGGCCCCCAUUUUUAUACACCCCCCUCAUUUGACCCAUGGUACCGGGCAGGGCAGAGAGGCCUUAAAAAAGCACCACAAGCCAAAGCGUCUCUGGGGAUUAAGGAUCCUUUGCCAUAAAACUCAUUUUGUGUCUCAGCAGUGCAGGGAUUGGGGAUGGAAAAGUCGCCAGUUUUUGUGUGUUUGUGUGUGUGUAAAGUGGAUUUUCCACUGUAAUCCAACCACCUAAGUUUAUCAGGUGCUUCACUGAGGAAGCCUAGUUUUUUAAGCACAAUAGCAAAACCAUCAGCUCUGUAUUUUCUCCUGUUCUUUCAUUACAGUAGCUGCUUGUGGGAACUAGGAAAAAUUCUUCCAACAUAUUUGAAGGCCUAAAGUCUUAGUUCCCCUUUCUCCUACCUUUAUAGAUCAUAAGCCUUUCUUGCCUGGGCGCCAUAGACAAGCAUAAUUGUUUCACGAGUUGAAUUUAAUGAACUUAUCUAACUUUAUAACCCAUCUUGGCUCUAGUAACUUGAUCAAGGUGGUGGCUUUCAUGAAUAUAACGGUAAACUUUAGAGGAAGCUAAAGCCUCCUUUUAUAAUGCUUCUCAACCAUAGGGAAAACAUUCUGUGUGGCAGGGUGAUUUUCUUUCUUGUGGCCACUUAACAGUGGAUAUUUAUUGUUCUUGACCCUUUUAUGCCCUAGAAUGCUGUGGGGGUUACCAUGUUGAAUUUGUGCAGAAGCUAAAAGCACCGGAUGUGCCAGAGAUGCAAUUUGUGAUUACGUUUGCACUGGAUUGUGAUUUGAACAGGACACUUAGGACUAAUGAACUCUUUCUUUUGAGGUGGGGAGGAGGGUUGUAAAUCGAGACUUCACAUCCCACCCUUAUAGCUCAGAGAAUCUAGUUGUGGCUGAGGUUGAUGUGGGGAGCUGCAGACAGCUGGACCUCCUAAAAACACAUCAGACCUUGCAAGAGACGGAAGGUGAAUGCAGAGGACUCUGAAAUGCCACCCAAGAGCCUUUUAAAAUAAAUAGAAGUUUUUAAAAUGCUACUUAAGGAGUCACUGCAGAAGCAUGAAAAAAAGAAGACCCAGUUGGGCGGGUGGGUGGGGGGCAAGGGUUUACAGAGUAACAACUUCUGUGUUGUUGUAAAUUACCUCAUCUGUAUACCUUGUAUUGGGACACUUUAUUUCUCAGCACUACCUGUGUCUGCAUUGAUUAGAUGGCAGGAAAUGGAAUGCCAAUAUAAGACAGUUGUGUUGGCAAUUACUCUGAAAGGUUUUUUAAGUAUUUUUUAACUUUGUUUGAAGUGGCCCCCCCCCCUUUUUUUUAAGUUUGAAGUCAGAAGUUCCCCCUCGCCCCCUUGAUUUAUUGGUUGUAAUUGUAUUGUAAUUGGUAUAACUAAAACAUAACUGUGCUGGGAAGAAGUUGUGCCAUGAAGGUCUUUAAUUUUUUUUAAAUAAAAACAUUUAAACAAAUGAAAUGUCCCUGCAGCCUGAGCAAUAUGCUUCUCCAACCGACACCGUGUGUGAUAGAUGGCUUAGCUUUCGUGUGCUUUGAAUUUAAUUUUGGGUUGAUGGAGAUGUGAAAUGGGAUGGAUUAAGAUUGGUUGAGGGUCUGGAAGUUUUUGACCUCAAGAGUCAGUGAAGAGAGCAUGAUGUUGUUGCUAAACAGGAUUGGUUUCAUUCCUGCCCUUGUCACUUACUGGGCUACUUGGCAAGUUACUUAACUUGUGAAUCUGUUUCAUCAUCUAUAAAAUGGGGCCACUGCUUUCUUGGGAUUGAAUGAGAGUAAAUGUCAAGUAUCUGGCACCUGCUACGCUCUUGAUAAACCUAAUUCCCCUGGUAUGGAGGAUUGGUUCUGGGUCCUGGCUUUGCAAGUGAUACACAGUACGAUCCAUUCUCUGGACCUCCUCGUCCUCUGUGUGCUCAGUCAGGGUGAGGUUCCGGGUGAGGUGUCUUCUGAGUUCCUUUUCAGCUCUAACACUGAUUUAGAAAGUUUGGUGCUUAAAUAAAAAGGUCCACAGAGACGGCUUUGUUCAAUUGCAGAAAAGAUCGGUGUUGAGUGAAUGGUAGUAAGCCCUGUGGACGGUCAGCCUUGGAGAUACCUGCGCCCUGGAGGUAACUUGCAGAGUCCUGACUUCAAGAUGUUCUGGAGAGCUUAUAGGAACAUAUUUGGCAGCUUAAACAGAAACUAUUCAAAGGGCUGGUAAAAGAGGUGAAAAAGUUCACUUGCUUAUCAGUGCCAAAUGAGUCAAUUCUGCAAGAUUAUAUACUUGAGUUGCCAUUUGAUCAUUCUCAUUUAACCACAAUUUUAAAAAAUUGAAAUCAGGAAAUGCUGUUAUCUCAGACUUCUAGUUUCUUUUAAAUCUUCACUGCAUACUAUUUUAUGACAUCCACUUGUUAUUAAUAUUGGGAGUUGAGACAUGGUUUAGGUAAGAGGAACUAUUGUGUAAUCUCUAACCCUAACUUUUCAUGAACUUUAAUUUUAUUUCCAUUUUAUACAUGAGACAGGAAGACUAAAUUGCUAGAGUGGGCCUGUUAGAGACAGAGGAAUCUAUUUUGUAAAAUUGUCUUCGGGGUAUGGCUAAUUACCAUAGUCCUAAAAUAGUCGAGAAAAUUGGAGAUUGGUUGACAGAUUGGGGAAUUUUCAUUUCCUCUCAGUCUUUAAAUUUCAUCUUGCCUCACCUGUUGUCAAGUGUGGUUAUAAUUAGAACUGACCAUUUGAACAUCUCUUGAAGAAUCUAGUUUUUUUUACCACUGCCUAUAGAUUCCCACCAGCAGAUUCUCUCCCAAGAUUAGGGUUGGGUUGAAUAUUUGCUCAGCCAUCAGUCUGCCCCCAGCUGGUGAUCUCCCUUGUGCCUCAACUCCAGUGACUGUGGCUGAUUUUCCUCAUGGGACAUGCUUGCUAGAGAGGCUGUCUUCCCCAGGGCCUUUUCCUGCUUGAGGAAAAAGUUAACCAAAAGGCUUUGAAGUAAAGUAGUCCCUGGUUCCCUCCUCAAAAAACAAGUCUAAAAACCUUGAUCCAAGCAGAUAUUCACCCUAUCUCAAGUCCCCUCAGCCUGCUUUCCCCCACUGCCAUCACUAUCCCCUUUCCCCUGUCUUGUAACACCUGAGCUUUUUAUUGUAUUAUUAUCUCUCCCCGCCUACAUGUAAGCACCCUGCUGACCUUAUAUAUCUUACUAAUCUGUGCAUCCUCAUAAAAACCUUUUUUUUUAAAAAAGUGCACCAAUAUCCCUCAGGAUUGAAGACGAUUGAAUAGAGUAGCACAUGGAAAAUGCCUAGCACCAUACCAGGCGCAUAACAGAUGCUCAGUCAAAGGUAAUUCCAUCUCCACUCCCACCUCACCUUCCCACAUCCCCCCACAGUAAGUAAUGGAAGUAUGUAUUAUUGCAUAAGGAGCAUCUCAAGGUCAGAAGACUCUUGCCCUUAAGUUUGCAGCUGUAAUUAUAAGCCAUGGGUCAGACUGAAAAUGUUUAUUUAAUGGGCGUUUGGUGAAAUAGAAGUGGCUGAAGACUAAGCAAUGAUCCUGACCAAUUUAGUAGACUUUGAUGCUAACAGCCCUGCUUUCCACCACUUGUGUAUAAUAAUAUAAAAUUCAGACUAUUCUCAAAGUAAAAUAGAUGUAUAGAGGGUGUCACAAGAUAGUCUGGCUCUGGAGUCAAGGUAUUCAAGUACUAUUUCUAGAUUUUGUACCUUAGUAUGAUUCUGUGCUAAAUUGAACCACUUCAGAGAAGUAACCUAGAAGAACUGCAAAUGUCCUGGUUCUAAACAGAGUUCUGUCUGGGUGUGUGGUUUAGGGUCAGUUACUUAACCUCUCUGAGGCUAUAACACACCCAUGAGCCUACUGCCCAGGUUAAGCCCCCUUUGCCCUUUAUUUCCUGAUCAUAUCCUCUUCUCUUCCUCCCUGCCCCAGAUGUUCUAAUACUUUCUUCAUCUGUAAAAUUGGGGUCUAAAUACCUGUUUUCAUAGGAUAGUGGUUCACAUUCGAUGAUAAGUGUUUGGAAAGUGCCUGGCACACACUACAGUUGGACUAAAUGCUCAUUUCCAUUGUACAGUUGUGCAGAUUCAUGUGCAGAAAGCGAAUGUCACGUGUAUAGGGAUGCCAUAAGUUGGUGCAUUCAUUCCUACAAUUUCACAGCAGAUGAUGGUAAAGUGUCUCCUUGAAGAAAAAAAAAAUCCAUCCAUUAAAUGUGACCGAUUUUCAACGAUGAAAGUCGUUUGUAAUUUGCAUGAAGGCCAACAUUGCCUUGUCUGUUCCCACCCCAUUUCACUAAUUCCCUCUAAGAUUAUCACUCUAUCUCCUUUGAAUUUUUAAUUUAUCUACUGAAAACUAUUCUUGCCCUGUAGCAAAUUACAGUGUGGAUUUGCCUCCCUGUGGCUGUAAUCACCAGGGAUUCUUAGUGGUCUCAAUGUUAAUGCUUCCAGAUGGGAGCUAAUAAAAUGGCCGCUCCUUUUCUUGGAGAAGUUCCUGAGGGGAUUGAGUAUUUCUGACUCAGCUUCAUUCUUGCAUCACCUGCUUUGACAGAAUUUUCUUGCCUUCUCUAAAGAAGAAAAAGGAAAAGCAGCGGCAGCUGGUAAGUGGUUUCCUGAUCCCACCCUGUGAGUCAGUCACAGCUAUAGAUAAACAUUUGUAGAAUUACCUAGAAAGGAAGGAGGAGGACAUUGCUUUUUUCUGUGUGAACAGUUCCGGGAACUCCACAGUGAAUUUCCUGUGAAGAAGCUUACAUACCCACAGUUCUCCACACUCUGAUGCACACCUUCUUCUGUUCCCCAUUCACCCACUCAGCUCCAUCCCCCUCAGCCCAGGGUUCCUUACACACUCACCUUAUUGACUGGUCUUUCCAGAGUUCAUUUGUUUAUAUCAGAUGCCCUUCAACAAACAGUAGUAGGUGUUCAUGAGCCCAGCCCUGUGCUAAACAAUGGAGAUUGGAAGAGAUGAGACAUAAACCCAUGGGGAAAUGUGUUCUUGUCAAAUAGAAAAGUGAGAAACAAAACUAUGUAUAUGGGGAACUGUGUUUCUAAAAAGAGUUACUGGAAAAAUCAGAUUGCCAGUCAACAUGGUAGAGUAAGCAGGUGGCCACCUACCUCCUGCUCUAAAUACAUAAGGAUGCUGGCUAAAAUAACAAUUUACUUUAAAUAAAUAGCCAAUUUCAAAGAAAUGGAAGUUCCCAGGUGGCAGAAAGAAGAAUUCAUUCUGAAGGUCAACUGUAACUGUAGUUCAACUGUCUAAACUGGAUUCAGCCAAACAGCUCUGCUUUAGGUUGAGGCUGGGCUGGGCUCCUGUGUUGAUUGGACUCCAGUUUGUUCCCUGUGGUUCCUUCUGGGACCCGUGCUGAAGUUGGAGCAGCUGCCCAGGGUUGUUGGAGCACAAGAGGCCAAAUGAAAUCACACAAGCAAAGAAAUAGUUGAAGAAAUAAAGGUUGGGAAUUUUCUAAAAUUAAGGACAGUAAGCCAUAGAUCCAAGACACUCAAAGAACACCAAACAAAAUAUAUGUAUACACAUACUAGGCAUAUCAAAAAUGCUAAAACAACAAAAAAAUGCUGAAACAGAAUCUUAAAGACCAGCCCAGAGAAAAAAUGACGACCUACAGAGGAAGCAAAAAAUUACCAAAUGAUGCAAGCCAGAAGACUGGAGUGACCAGCACUGAAAGAAGAAAACCUGUCAACCCAGAGUCCCACACCCAGUGAAAAUAUCUUUGAAAAUGAAGGGGAAAUAAAGUCUUUAGAAGAAAAAGAAAAACUGAGGGAAUACAUUGCCAGAAGACCUCUGUUUCAACUAGAAAUAUUAAAGGAAGUUCUUUAGGCAGAAGGAAUGUGAAACCAGACAGAAAUGUGGGUCUACAACAAAAUUAAGAGUGCUGGAAAUGGAAUAAAUGGAAGUAAAAUUUAAAAUUUAAUUGCUUUAAAAUAAGUCUACAGAGGUCAGCAAAUCUUCUGUAAAGGAGCAUGUAAAUAAUUUUAAGUUUUGCAUGUCCUAUGAUCUCUUGUAAGCACUCUACUGCUGUGGAACGAAAUCAGUCUUAGGCAAUAGGUGUAUCAGCAUGGCUGUGUUCCAAUAAAGCUUUAUAGACUCUUAAGAUUUGAAUUUCACAUAAUUUUUAUGUCCUACAAGUUACUCUUUUGGCCUUCCCCCCCCCCAAUCAUUUAAAAUUGUUAAAGCCAUUCUUGGCUCAUGAGCCAUCCUUUAGAUUGUGUAACUAUAGCAUAUGUAAAAAUAAAAAAUAUGUAUACAGGGAAUGGUGGUAUAUCUGUACAAUGAAAUACUGAGCAAUAAAAGGAAUACACUUGUACAUGCA